UCGGCAAAUGUUGCCACAAGCAGAAAAUUCGGACAAUGUCGACACAACAGAUCAAGGUAAGGGCUUCUCCUAAUUCCAUUUUCAGUAUCCUUACACAAUUCACAUUUACAGAAAAAGGACGUGGUAAGCGGCGCAAAUACACACGCAUUUUGAGCUCGACGGAUGAUUCGGAAGAGGAAGACAAUUUCAAUCUUCCAGAACCACCCUUCUCUCAAAGCACUUCAAGCGCCAGUAAUGAUGGCAGAACAACUUCCAGACAAAGGCUUACUGAAACAGCUUCUGAAAAAACCCAGCAGGCAGACUUUUCUGUGCAGACAGCUCAUCUAUGUAAGAUUUUCUCUUCUAGUAAGCAGCUAUGUGCCAUUG